GCUUAACACAUGCAAGUCGAGCGAGAAUCGUUUAUUGAAGGCUUCGGCUGGAAAUAGAUGAGGAAAGCGGCGAACGGGUGAGUAACGCGUGGGCAACCUGGCCUUAAGAAAAGGAUAGCCCCCGGAAACGGGGAGUCAUACUUUAUGAGAAUAGAAAAGGGCAUCCUAUUUCUAUUCAAAGCGCAAGCGCUUAAGGAUGGGCCCGCGUAUCAUUAGCUAGUUGGUGAGAUAACAGCCCACCAAGGCAACGAUGAGUAGCCGGCCUAAAGGGGCGAACGGCCACAUUGGAACUGAGAGACGAUCCAAGCUCCUACGGGAAGCAGCAGUGGGGAAUAUUGCGCAAUGGAGAAGAACUCUGACGCAGCAAUACCGCGUGAGCGAAGAAGGUCUUCGGAUCGUAAAGCUCUGUUAUCAGGGAAGAAGAAAAUGACGGUACCUGAUGAGCAAGUCCCGGCUAACUACGUGCCAGCCGCCGCAGUAACAC
rnacentral:rRNA from 1 species